rnacentral:rRNA from 1 species
GACGAACGCUGGCGGCGUGCUUAACACAUGCAAGUCGAACGGAAAGGCCCUUCGGUUUUCUCGUGUGUGGUAGGGGUUCGCGUCAGGUUGAUGAUUUGAUCUUCACCUUGUUUUACGCCUAGGAUAAUGUAUCUAAUGCCAAAACCGGACACGAGCUUCUUUUCCUGUGUUGGCAAGCUUUUGCGGUGUGGGUUGGGCGCGCAGCCUAUCAGCUUGUUCUUGUUGUUGUGGUCUACCAAGGCGAAGCCGGGUACCCGGCCUGAGAGGGUGACCGGCCACACUGGGACUGAGAUACGGCCCAGACGCCUACGGGAGGCAGCAGUGGGGAAUAUUGCACAAUGGGCGCAAGUCUGAUGCAGCGACGCCGGGUGCGGGAUGACGGCCUUCGGGUUGUAAACAGCUUUCGAUUGAGACGAAGCGUAAGUGACGGUAACUAAUGAAGAAGCACCGGCUAACUACGUG